GCGAGGCAAUACCAGACAUCAGCUUGCAAUUCCUAAGAUUCCCUCUGCCCCAAGGGUUCCUCUGUUUUUCUCCAUCCAUCUAGGCAUGCGAUGAAACCAGAAAGCCACAGACAUCACCACUGUGCCAAUCCUGGAGCCUAAGGACCUUCAUCUUCCAUCUUGACUCCAUCUUCCAGAGUGUCCUAUGUUAGUGUGAAGUGGAAUAUCUGGGAGUGUUAGUUGUCCUUACUGGGAAAAACAGUGACUAUCUCUGUUUCUCUAUUACCUAAUAACUGACUGCUCACCUCUGAGGAAAGAGCUCACAGUCUCCUUUGAGAGGUCUCUCUGGACUCCUAGGAAACACCUUAUAUCCUUGCCAUACAUUUUCUUUCGUCUUCUGUCUAAGUAUGUUUCCCUUCUACAUCUGUCUGAAGUAGUUGUCUCCUACCCUCUCAACUGAGUUUCUCAAGGACAGGGAUAACUCAUUUCCUUGGUGAUCACUUGUGUACCAGACAUUCACUCCAUUUACUCAAUGCUCAGUAAAGUCAGUUGAGUGGUUUUCAUGUCUCUGCACAAAGUUGAUACUCAACAAAUGUUUAAGAAAUAAAUUGGUCCCCAAAGAAUCAUGGAGUUUAUAAUUGAAAGACAAAUGAAAUCCUAGAUUGCAAAAUUAUCUGCAGAUUUUAUUUCGUUGAUAUACAGGAUAGUGCCAAAGAACGUCACAUUUUGUGAUGUUUUUCUGCCACCUUUCAACAGAAGAUGCAUUAUUCUUCACUUAUAACUUUGGUGUGAACUUCCCGGCUCUUGACCCGCAGCUUGUUGACCUGGGACUCGGCAAUGUCAGCCCGCUCCUCGGCCUCCUCCAGCUCAUGCUGGAUCUUGCGGAACUUGGCCAGGUUGACAUUGGACUGUU